CGCGCAGGCGGGUUUGUUAGUCAAGGGUGAAAUCCUACAGCUUAACUGUAGAACUGCCUUUGAUACUGCAAACCUUGAGUGCGGAAGAGAGAGGCGGAAUUCCAGGUGUAGUGGUGAAAUACGUAGAUAUCUGGAAGAACACCAGAGGCGAAGGCGGUCUCUUGGUCCGUUACUGACGCUGAGGCGCGAAAGCGUGGGGAGCAAACA
rnacentral:rRNA from 1 species